GACUGCACCUGCAGAGCUCCUGGGGAGUGUCCAGGGGGAUGGGCAGGUCCUGAUGCUGCUUCUGGCUCCCUGGUCCUGCUGCUUUAAUUGAUCUGUCUGGAUUAGUUAGUGAGUACCGGCCUUCUAGUCUUCUGUGCGGAAUUCUAAGUUUCAGGAAAAACAACGUGUCCCUGGAGGUUCUGCCAGCCCAGGACCCAGUUUCCUUGGUGACACCUGCCUUUCCACAUCCACAGCCACGCCCACUCAUAUAUAUAUGUCCUCUCUUCUAAGACAUCUGGUGUGGAGGCCAGUUUGCAGCAGGUGCAGACAUGGCUCCGGUCUCUUCUUCACGUGGUGAAGCACAGGCCCAGUAUGGAAUACAGGGCUUCCUCAUCAACUCGACUCUUAUGUUUCAAAAACUGCCUUCAUGUCCUUCCCACAGCCCAGAAAACCCUACCAGCAGCUUUCCUACCUCUAUUCAACUGACUUCUAAAGUAGUUUUCAAAAGCCUUUGCAAGACCUUGCCUUGUCCUGUCAUUCUUCAUCUGUGCUUUUGAACGAGACCACCACGCAAGCCUCCCUGCUCACUCUGGCCAUGAGUAACGUUGAUGUUGCACCCCUGUUUGUGACUGGUAGGCUGUUCCUAGGAGUGACCUUGUCUGAGCCAUCUUGGGUUCAGUACUUACCUGGCAAAGCAUCACUUGGAACUUGACUAGGAUUGCAGUAACAGAUGUUUGUGGGUGCGGGGAAACUGAGGCUGAGUCCUCUGCAAGAGCAACAAGUGCUCUUAGCCCCUGAAGAUCUCUCCAGCCCCCUGUGUUUCUCUUUCGGAAUCUAUACUAUAUAUGUUGUUUUUCCUGAGACACAUUUUACAAGGAUAGUAUGUGUCACUCUUCAGGAUAAAAUUUAAAGAAAUAGUCUGUAAAU